UGGGGAAUAUUGGACAACGGGCGAAAGCCUGAUCCAGCCAUGCCGCGUGUGUGAAGAAGGUCUUCGGAUUGUAAAGCACUUUAAGUUGGGAGGAAGGGCAUUAACCUAAUACGUUAGUGUUUUGACGUUACCGACAGAAUAAGCACCGGCUAACUCUGUGCCAGCAGCCGCGGUAAUACAGAGGGUGCAAGCGUUAAUCGGAAUUACUGGGCGUAAAGCGCGCGUAGGUGGUUUGUUAAGUUGGAUGUGAAAUCCCCGGGCUCAACCUGGGAACUGCAUUCAAAACUGACUGACUAGAGUAUGGUAGAGGGUGGUGGAAUUUCCUGUGUAGCGGUGAAAUGCGUAGAUAUAGGAAGGAACACCAGUGGCGAAGGCGACCACCUGGACUAAUACUGACACUGAGGUGCGAAAGCGUGGGGAGCAAACA
rnacentral:rRNA from 1 species